AAGCUGCAGCUGCAGCUGCAGCCACUGCAUGGAGGCGCAAUUGUCUUUGCAGUUCAAUUGCAAUUGCAGGUUGCAUUUGCAAUCCCAGUUCUGGUCCCGGUUGCAAUUUGCAACUUGGAGUCUGCAGGUGCAAUUCCUAUCACAGUUGCAGUUGCAUUUUGCAGCUGCAGCUGCAGCGUGCAGAUACAGCCACCAUGCAUGUAUGCGAUCGUAGUUUGCAGGUGAGGUCGAUGUUAGAGUUGCAGGUGCAGCUGCAGCCACUACAUGAAUGUGCAGCGGUCUUUGCAGUUGCAAUUGCAAUAGCAGGUUGCAUUUGCAAUCCCAGUUCCGGUCCCAGUUGCAAUUUGCAACUUGGAGUCUGCAGAUGCAAUUACUACCUCAGUUGCAGUUGCAUUUUGCAGCUGCAGCUGCCGUGUGCAGAUACAACCAUCGUGCAUGUAUGCGAUCGUAAUUUGCAGGUGAGGUCGAUGUUAGAGUUGCAGCUGCAGCUGCAGCCACUGCAUGAAGGUGCAGCGGUCUUUGCAGUUGCAAUUGCAAUUGCAGGUUGCAGGUGCAAUCCCAGUUCCGGUCCCAGUUGCAAUUUGCAACUUGGAGUCUGCAGGUGCAAUUCCUACCGCAGUUGCAGUUGCAUUUUGCAGCUGCAGCUGCUGUGUGCAGAUACAACCAUCAUGCGUGUAUGCAAUCGUAGUUUGCAGGUGAAGUCGAUGUUAGAGUUGCAGCUGCAGCUGCAGCCACUGCACGAAUAUGCAGCGGUCUUUGCAGUUGCAAUUGCAAUUGCAGGUUGUACUUGCAAUCCCAGCUCCAGUCUCAGUUGCAAUUUGCAACUCGGAGUCUGUAAGUGCAAUUACUACCGUAGUUGCAGUUGCAUUUUGCAGCAGUUUGCAGUUUGCAGGUGCAGUUUGCAGGUGCAGUUGCAGCUGUCCUUGUUGCAGUUGCAGUUUGCUCCCCUCCUCCCAUGUGCUCUCUCUGCAGGAUGCAUUGCUGGGGUUGGGUGCUGCCAUCGACGCCGCCCACCUGCAGGAUGCGCUGCGUGCUGCAUUGCUGGCGCUGCUGCCCCGCGUGGAGCACUCCUACAUCUACCUGCUGGAUGGGGACGCCCGGCUGAGCUGCGCUGACCCCCCCCAUGAGCUUCCUAUGGAGGGGAAGCUCAGGUAACACCUCCCCCCCCUCAGCCCCCCAAUGUGUGGGGCAGCCAUAGGGCAGAGCUGCCCCCCC
rnacentral:lncRNA from 1 species